rnacentral:lncRNA from 1 species
AGAAAAAUAAAUAAAGGCAGGUGUGGUAAGUAAGAGAAAAAGAGAUAUCAAGAAAAAGAAAAGAAAAAUAAAAUGAGAAAUGAGAACCACACCCAACCCAAAAUAAGCAUGAAAAAAAUUAAAAGAGAGAGACAAGGAAGGAUUGAAUAGGAAGAUAGUAUAAAAAGAGUGGACCCCUAAGAAAGAAUAGUGCCAAGGAGGCUAAGUUACUAAAACCAUCCCAAAUAUACCAUAACCUGCCCCAAGCCUAUGUUACAAGCCUAACAAAAUCCUAUAGUGAUCCUAAC